UACGUAGGGGGCAAGCGUUGUCCGGAUUCAUUGGGCGUAAAGAGCGUGUAGGCGGCCAGGUAGGUCGGUUGUGAAAACUGGAGGCUCAACCUUCAGAGGUCGACCGAAACCAUCUGGCUAGAGUCCGGGAGAGGAGAGUGGAAUUCCUGGUGUAGCGGUGAAAUGCGCAGAUAUCAGGAAGAACACCCGUGGCGAAAGCGGCUCUCUGGAACGGUACUGACGCUGAGACGCGAAAGCGUGGGGAGCGGACAGG
rnacentral:rRNA from 1 species